rnacentral:rRNA from 1 species
AUUGAACGCUGGCGGCAUGCUUUACACAUGCAAGUCGAACGGCAGCGCAGGCUUCGGCCUGGCGGCGAGUGGCGAACGGGUGAGUAAUACAUCGGAACGUGCCCAGUAGUGGGGGAUAGCUCGGCGAAAGCCGGAUUAAUACCGCAUACGACCUGAGGGUGAAAGCGGGGGAUCUUCGGACCUCGCGCUAUUGGAGGGGCCGAUGGCGGAUUAGCUAGUUGGUGGGGUAAAGGCCUACCAAGGCGACGAUCUGUAGCUGGUCUGAGAGGACGACCAGCCACACUGGGACUGAGACACGGCCCAGACUCCUACGGGAGGCAGCAGUGUGGAAUUUUGGACAAUGGGCGAAAGCCUGAUCCAGCAAUGCCGCGUGUGUGAUGAAGGCCUUCGGGUUGUAAAGCACUUUUGGCGGGAACGAAAAGGACUGUGCCAAUACCACGGUUCGAUGACGGUACCCGCAGAAUAAGCACCGGCUAACUACGUG